rnacentral:piRNA from 1 species
UGACAUUGAACCAGACAAAAGGAUUAUG